UGAGGAAUAUUGGUCAAUGGACGCAAGUCUGAACCAGCCAAGUAGCGUGCAGGAUGACGGCCCUCCGGGUUGUAAACUGCUUUUAGUUGGGAAUAAACGGCGGGACGUGUCCCGCUUUGCAUGUACCAUCAGAAAAAGCAUCGGCUAACUCCGUGCCAGCAGCCGCGGUAAUACGGAGGAUGCGAGCGUUAUCCGGAUUUAUUGGGUUUAAAGGGUGCGCAGGCGGCGCGCCAAGUCAGCGGUCAAAGUUCCGGGCUCAACCCGGUGUCGCCGUUGAAACUGGCGUGCUCGAGUGCGUGCGAGGAAGGCGGAAUGCGUUGUGUAGCGGUGAAAUGCAUAGAUAUGACGCAGAACUCCGAUUGCGAAGGCAGCUUUCCAGCGCGCUACUGACGCUGAGGCACGAAAGCGUGGGGAUCGAACAGGAUUAGAUACCCUGGUAGU
rnacentral:rRNA from 1 species